rnacentral:rRNA from 1 species
UACGUAGGGGGCAAGCGUUGUCCGGAUUUAUUGGGCGUAAAGAGCGUGUAGGCGGCCAGACAGGUCCGUUGUGAAAACUCGAGGCUCAACCUCGAGAUGUCGAUGGAAACCGUCUGGCUAGAGUCCGGAAGAGGAGUGUGGAAUUCCUGGUGUAGCGGUGAAAUGCGCAGAUAUCAGGAAGAACACCUAUGGCGAAGGCGGGUCUCUGGGCCGAUACUGACGCUGAGGAGCGAAAGCGUGGGGAGCGAACAGG